GAUCCAACCUGCGGAAAAUGCAAUUUGCAAGCAUGUUUUCAAUUAAUCAAGGAACGGAAAGUUAGAGUUUUCGAAGACGAUUAGAUACCGUCCGUAGUUCUAACUAUAAAACUAUGCCAACUGGGCAUCUGGCGGUAGCACAUUAGGGCAUCGGCAGGCACCCCGCGGGAAACCAAAGUUAUAGGGUUCCGGGGGGGAGUAUGGUUGCAAAAUCGAAACUUAAAGGAAUUGACGGAGGGGCACACCAGAAGUGGAGCGUGCGGCUCAAUUUGACUCAACGCACGAAAACUUACUCGGUCCGGGGCGCCGUGAGGAUUGACACCCCCCAACGCUCUUUCUUGAUUUGGUGGGUGGUGGUGCAUGGCCGUUCGUAGUUGGUGGAGUGAUUUGUCUGGUUUAUUCCGAUAACGAACGAGACUCUAGCCUAUUAAUUAGUGUGGCGAGUGACGACUUUAUUGGUCUUGCCGCCUGAACACUUCUUAGAGGGACAAGUACUGUAAAGUGCUGGAAGAUGAGCAAUAACAGGUCUGUGAUGCCCUUAGAUGUUCGAGGCUGCACGCGCGCUACAAUGGAGGCUUCAAAAAGUAGUUAUCCUGGUUUGAAAAGAUCGGGGAAUCAAAAAUAGCCUUCACGAUUGGGAUCGGAGAUUGUAAUUAUUCUUCGUGAAAGAGGAAUUCCUAGUAAACGCGAAUCAUUAUUUCGCGUUGAAUAAGUCCCUGCCCUUUGUACACACCGCCCGUCGCUACUACCGAUCGAAUGGUCUAGUGAGGUUUCCGGAUAGGUUGCAUGGAGCCAAAAGCUCCACUGUAUUUCUAAAAGCUGACCGGACUACGCAUUGAACUUUUCAGAAAAUAAAAUAAGCGCG
rnacentral:rRNA from 1 species